GGUACUUGAGUAAAGCAGUGCUGCCCGGGCUCUCCAGUGGAAAAGGAAAGGACUGCAGCAUGGAAAGGGGAGGCAGGCAGGCUGGGGGAGGGGCGCAGCUGGGCCUAACUUCUGCUUUGCUCUGUGGCCUCUGUUAUUAAACUCUUAACCCCUUCACUUCUGCUAGGAGGAGACUUAUGGGUUUCCAGCUGGAGUUUUCUCCUUUUGAACACUGGAGCAGGAAGUUUACAUUUGCAAAACUUCAGAAGGCAGAAGAGGCAAAAGUUGCAGUCACAUCUGCUUCCUGGUUGUUUGCUCAGGCUCCUGGAUAAGAUCAAAAACAACAGCCUAUUGCAGGCAAGGAAGAUUUCAGAGAAUGCUGUCACAAUGCUGUAUGUCUGCUUGAGAGGCAGAAUUGAUUUAAAUGCUUUGGAGAGGAGAGACAUUCCUUCUUCUUCAAGAAAGGCCUCAUAGGCUAUCAAUAUACUUUGGAACCAACUAUAGACAUGCAAAAAGAGAGUCAGAGCUUGGAAGCUGAAGUGAUAUAUAGGGAAAUAUGCUUCCCUAUCAUGUCCCUGAUUUCCAGCUUGCUUCUUUAGAGACUGGGAAAUUUUUUUAGAAAAGACCGAUGAAUACAGAGAGGCUUGGAGAGACUUACA